rnacentral:rRNA from 1 species
UACGGGGGGGCAAGCGUUGUCGGAAUUACUGGGCGUAAAGGGCUCGUAGGCGGCCAACUAAGUCAGACGUGAAAUCCCUCGGCUUAACCGGGGAACUGCGUCUGAUACUGGAUGGCUUGAGUUUGGGAGAGGGAUGCGGAAUUCCAGGUGUAGCGGUGAAAUGCGUAGAUAUCUGGAGGAACACCGGUGGCGAAGGCGGGUCUCUGGGCCGAUACUGACGCUGAGGAGCGAAAGCGUGGGGAGCGAACAGG